rnacentral:rRNA from 1 species
GACGAACGCUGGCGGCGUGCUUAACACAUGCAAGUCGAACGGAAAGGCCCUGCUUUUGUGGGGUGCUCGAGUGGCGAACGGGUGAGUAACACGUGAGUAACCUGCCCUUGACUUUGGGAUAACUUCAGGAAACUGGGGCUAAUACCGGAUAGGAGCUCCUGCUGCAUGGUGGGGGUGGGAACGUUUCGGCGGUUGGGGAUGGACUCGCGGCUUAUCAGCUUGUUGGUGGGGUAGUGGCUUACCAAGGCUUUGACGGGUAGCCGGCCUGAGAGGGUGACCGGCCACAUUGGGACUGAGAUACGGCCCAGACUCCUACGGGAGGCAGAAGUGGGGAAUAUUGCACAAUGGGCGGAAGCCUGAUGCAGCAACGCCGCGUGCGGGAUGACGGCCUUCGGGUUGUAAACCGCUUUCGCCUGUGACGAAGCGAGAGUGACGGUAAUGGGUAAAGAAGCACCGGCUAACUACGUG